rnacentral:sRNA from 1 species
AUUAAUAAUUAAUUGAGAUGGUAAGGGUAAAAUUGGAAUUUUAUUUUUGUUGUGAGAUCGUGAGUAUGAAAAUAACAACAAUUACUUGUUUGUGUAUUAAAUUGCACGGUUUUAUUACUUCGUGUAUUUACCUUCCAACCAAAAACAAUUGGGUAUUAAACGUCCAAAUAAAAAUUAGUUGAGUUUUUUUUUGGGUUUGUUCCCUAAAUAGAUGUCGUAUAAACUAUAAUUUUUUCG